GCAAAACCUCUUAAAAUGUCAUCGCAGGUGUCUUAGCCAGAGGGACCUGAAGACGUUGCCGCUGGCUGAUUAUGAUGUGGCUCAACUGGAAAGUAAGGGUCUCGGUUUUCGAGCUGCUCAUAGAAGGUAGUUUUUCUCUUCAGAGUGUUUUCUGUUUCAUGUGUUCGUAACGUGAACCAAAGUGAAACACGAGAGCAGCGACUCGGGGGUUCCUGAAUGAGCCUGAGUUUCCCAUCAGGCCGGGGCACGGGCUCGCCAGCACCAUGCCACAGGGCGGGCAUCCCUUCUCCAGCGGCUCCUGUUCUGUGACAAGAAGGAGCCGUUGUUCCAGGCCUGUCACUUCCAGGCCUUUUCAUUAACCAUGAAUUCACUUUAUUUUGUGUCUGUAAAAGCUGAUGUAUUUCCCCCAAGUGAAUGCAACCGCAGCCAUCUGCAGCCAUGGUGGAGUUUCCCUGUGAGAACAGCCCUUCCCCAAGGGCCUGCGUGGACCGCGCAUCAUCGGGUAAGGCUGCCCUCUGUCUGCUGCGGCGCGGGGAAGAGCUUGACGCCCUCCUCCCCCAGCUCUGGGUCCGCUGUCCCAGAGGACGUCAGAGUGACCACCGGGAAAGAAGACAGAGCAGGGUUGCCUAAAGCCCCACUUUGUGACCUCUGUCCUGAAGCCGAGGCCAGACCAUCUGUCCUGCCACCAAUGGUCUAGAAGUACUUCGGGUGCCUGUGCCCAACUGUGCCCAUGUGCCCCCACCCCAUCCAGGGAUGGGUGAUGCUGGAGGCCCUCCCACCAGUGCCCGUCAUGCUGUCCUCCUCGGAUGCCGGUCCCUGCCAGCUGUCAGCAGCGAGCUCUCGGUCCCCUGGGGGACCUGGGACCUGCCCUGAGAGUCGGCCUUUCCCAGACCCACCCGCAGAUGAGUGGGCAGAGCUGUGGCUGUGGCCUGUGGGCGGCGGGUGGGGGCGUGUUUCGGGGAGCACUCAGGCAACUUUGGCUGUUUCCCCACCGUCCGUCCUGUUUCGAGUUGCGCUCUUGCUAGAUUCUUUAACAGGCCUGCCUAUGACGGAAUUUAAAACCGAUCUUUCUGUCCAUCUCUAGAAUCUUAAAGAAUCAUCUUUGGACCUCUUCAGGUUGAUUUAAAACAUUCCAAAUAUCCUUUUUCUAAACUCAUUCAAACUAACUAAAAUUGGCGGUUAUCUUCUGACCCGAUGAGGUGUUCCAUGCCCCAGCCCGUGCCCUGCGCAUGCCUUACCUGCCCCGGCGCAUGGCCCCCAUGCUGCAGCCGCACCCCGGGCCGAGCAUGUGCUGGGGACCCUGCAAAGUCUGUGGCAUCGCAGCUUCAGUGUUCCCUGCGGAUGCUGAGCUCGGAGCCCGUCCGGGAGCUUCACCGAAGGAAACUCAAGGAGGAACGGCCACCACCCUGGAAGUUCGUGUAGAGCCGAGCCCGCCCACAGUGCUGCUGAGUAGGCCUCCGUUUAUGAAUACCGUGUCCCAGCAUGUUGCAUCCCGUCGAACACCAGCUCCUGCUGCCCCACCGCGUGUGACGUCUUUUGGAUGGAAGAGCACAGGCGACCGUGGAUCCUGGAGUGCAUGGCUCAUGGGGCAGAUGCCGUUCCAGAAGCCAAGGCCUCCCGCUGGGUCUCGUGUGCGUGUGGCCGCCAGCAAGAAGAGGUGCAAACUUGACCCCAGAAAGCAUGGAAACGGGGAAUGAGCCGGUGUGAUAAGUAGGAUUCCUAACCACCACCACCCCCCACCCCCGGCAGGGACGUGAGCAUCGCAGUGCCUCGGGGACGUGCGCUGCUUGGCUGUGUGCGUGGGUGAGUGGCCAGAGCUCCCACACACACACACUGCCCGGUGCCCUGUACACCUGCAAGCCCAGCACGUCCGGCGGGAAGAAGCGCCUGCUCGGUUGAGAGGGGGAUGUUCUCGUUUGCAGCUGAACUUGCAGUUCACCCCCCACCCCACAGGCUUUUUCUUCACGUGGGUUGACAGCAUUUAUUAAUUUUAAGAACGAAAUCAUAAUACAUAAGCGGUUCAGAAAAUCUGAACUGCGCAGAAUUUACUCCGCACGUUAAAGUCCUCGGGAAUCUCGGUACUAAGAUGCCACGCUCGGGAGAAUUUCCCCUGGGCUGUGGGACUUUUACAAACACAGACGACGCCGAUCUCGUAGUUAAAUCCGGUUGUGCCUAUAGCUCCUGGGAUUGGGGUGCAGCGGGGGCACGAGCGAGGCCUGCAGGGGGCAGGCCCCAGGGCAGAGGGGAUGGGAGGUAGCGCCGCGGGGCCACCAGUGAUGCCAGGGUGACAGCCAGGGUGCCGCUGUCCCCGCCUCCCCUGAAGCGCCUCUCCGGGGGAAGCGCCCAGGUCAUUCCUGAGGGACGUGGCUGAGGCCUGAUGCCAUUUGAGAUGAAAGCUGCAUGGGGGUGUUGACCCCACCCUGCAUCUUUCAUGCCGGCACACUUCGGGCAGGCGGACGCAACUCCUGCAUGUCCUGCCGGUGACGCUAGGUGGCUUCUCUCAGAAAAGCCCCUUGCUGUACACUUGGGCCCUGCACGGUGCUCUCCCUCUCCUCCCGGGACCCCCGUGCUCCCAGCCCUGUCCCCCGGCUUGUGACUUGCCUGCCUGUCCAGCGCAGCCCCUGGGAGCAUUGGCCCGGGCAGGCCUAGGGUGGAAGGCAGCAAGCCGGCCUGAGGGCUCAUGGUGGGAGGCCCGUGCGCACGGAGGGUCAGGCGUGCGCCUUCGGACAUUCUGCUCUUACUGUAGCUGGUGUGGCGAGAAACAGCGAGUCACCGAUUGUUGCCAAAAGUCUGAAUUGAGGAAAAAGAUGGUGAUGUUAGCCACAGACAGGAUCCUACAGCCCAGAAGCCGUCUGCUGUAUCAGUCACUUGUUCCAGGAGCAGGUGAGUGCAUCCCACACGUGCCAUGCGGGCCGGGAGCUGGUGGCGAGUGGAGCUCAGUGUCCUGCCCGGUCCCCGUGGAGAGAGGGGGGGAGUGAGAGACCCACGACACAGCCUUGCAAGCGUGGGGAAGCCUAGCGCUAAGAAGAAUGUGACACGGUGCUCAGCAUGUUGGUGGGACCUCGAAGGAAGCCACGUUGGCCAUGACUAAGAGGUGACAUUUAGGCUGCGGUCUAGCCAGAGAGCUGGCCAGGAGGGAGGGGACAGCGCCAGAGAAUCAGUGUAGCAGGCCGCAUGCGGGAGCAGCCUGAGGACAGGGACACUGGGCCUGGCCCAGUUUCAGACCUCACGAGCGUCGGGUAGCUGCCGCUUGGGGUGGCCUCGCGGGGAACCUGGUUGGUUGUGUUUCCUGUUAAUUCGUUGGGCGCUGGCGGUCAUUUCAGAGGCAGGAUGUGGAGGCCGGUUGCAGAGCUCAGUGGGGCGCGGGCUGCGGCCCUCAGCCACCUCCGAUGAGCGAGUCCACGGGUAAUCCUGGUCCUCACGGGGUGGGAGUGGACUGAGCACGUUAUGGCCCCAGGACAUUUCUUGGAAAUUGCUUUUUUAAAUAACCCCCUGACUUGCGUGUUUUCAUUUGUGUCUGUGCCCAAGAAGAGAGUUCAAAAAUAAACCAUGGUUAUUCUGGGUUCUGGUGAAUCCAGGUGCUGCCGGGCGGUGCUGGGCAGGGCUGCACCAGCCAUCUCGGCCAGCCCUGCCCGGGGACACGGCAGCUCUCCAAGCCCUGCUUCUUGACGGCAGCGCCGCCCGCGACUCCCAGUUACCCUGCGGUGUUAGCUUUCUGAGGGCUUCGAGCUGGCCGUUUCCUCAGGCAUCCUUGAAACCGGGUUCAUCUAUAGCUGGCCCACUGCGACCUGGAGUCCUCCCAGGCUGUGGCCUCGGCCCCAGUUCGGAGCCGCCGGGUGAAGCCCUGAACCCCUUCCUCCCCCAGCCUUCCUCAGGGUACUCGCUCACUCUGGACAAUCCGCAGAGCCCCAGGGACUCUGGCUUUGUGCAAACUGGCACCCGCGCCCCAGCAUGCCGGCCCCCACCCACACCGCAGCCCGACCUCCAGGGAGUCCAGCAACGCGCUGCGGCUGCUGGAACCUCCUGGGAACGUCUGAAAUGGGGCCCUGACUCCCCUUCCUCCUCAGACUCACCUUGUGAUGCUGAGGGGCCAGUCUGCCCUCUGGCCCUGCUGCCUUGGGCAAAUCCCCAAACCCAGGGACGAGGGACGUGUGCACGUCCCCGGCGCCUAGAUGGACUCGUUCAAAGGGGCAGGUUCUUUGCGGGAAGAUCAGCCCGUCCCUUCCCAGGUGGAUUUGGGUCUCGUGGCCGCGGCUUCCUGUCAGAUCUGAGAGCAGCUUCUUGAGGCCCGGCUCGGACCUGGGGGGGUGCGCCUGCACCCCUGGAAUGGCGUGUGCUUUUGAACUUGACGGGACCUAGAUUUGGAUUUAGCUUUAACAUUAGCUGCUUGGCUAAGGCAUGGCAUGUUGUGGGGUUAUUUUUAAGCCCUUCUGGAGAGUUCGUUCUUCCGGGAAAGGUCUGAAUCCGCGGUCCCGUGACACUGUGUUAACAGGCCCACACCCGCCUUCAGACCCGUGCCCUGGCGCUGUGGGGGCGGCCGUGGGGCGCUCCUAUGCCCACAGGGCUUACGUGCACGGGGUGGGAGCGGCCCUGAGGGGAAGGGCAGGUGGCGCGGCUGCUGGCCGAGGGGCUGCCUCUGCACCAUUUGGACGGGUGUUGAAGCUGCUUUGGGAGGCAGGUAGAUUCCUGCCCCCCCACCCCGGGAGCCGCGACACCUGUGAUGUCGUGACCCGGAGUAUCUUUAGUGGCAUUCAUGCCCUCGGCCCUUGGGUCCAGGUGGGACUCACGGGGACCAGUGACUGAUACGGAGCUCGAAGGCAAUACAGUCCACUUUGUAUGUUUAUUAACAAAAGCCAGGGCCCCUCACUUCUCAGAAACCAUGAUGUGUCGACACCUAGUUCAGCUCGGGUGAGGUGCACGGUCACACCAGGGCCUGGGAGCACGUGGCGUGCGUUACGUCCUCUGCUAGAGACGCUGCCCCUGGGGACUGUCCCAAACUGCUCCCCACCCCACCCCCAGCCUAUUUGAUGCUGGAAGGAACCUCUGUUCCUCAAUGUUUUAUUCUCAAAAUGUUCCCCCCAGCAACUGUCUUUCACACUGCUGUCUGUGUGCCCCCGGGGAGCAAAGCAGACGGGGCAGCUGCCCCCACAGACGGACUCCGCCCCUGAGCACCCCCUCCCCACGUCUGAGCCAGGGCGUCCUAGCUUCACCGCCGCCACCUGGAGACCCAGCUUUUGCAGAAGAUGGAAGCAAACUGGGAAACAGGUAACAUGACCGAGGAGGCAGGAUGGCCGAUCCACACGGCGCUCACAGAUGGAACAGGUUUCCCCUCGCCCCUGCUCCGCCUGACCUUGCCGCCACCACCCUCAAACCCCUCCCCGUGAACCUAGGUGAUGGCCGUGCUGGGGUACGGUGGCAGCGAUGCCCUGGGGUGCUCCCGGAGGUGUCCCCGCCUUCCUGGCCUCACGGCCACAGUCCCCAGCACAGCCACCUGAGCUGAGCUCGGAGCAGACAGUCGCUUUAAGGCACGAAGGUCGGGGACUGUGUUUGCAGCGACAGACCCCCAGACGCGGGCCUCCCUCUGUCACCUUCUCCGUCUUUCCCUCCGUGAUCUCCUGGUCGCAGUGAUGCUCUCGGAAGCCGGGACCCAGGCCUGGAGACCGCGCCUGUGCCUGUCCCCUUGCGGGCCUGGGACCCUGCUCUCCAGUGUGGCAUCCACUGACAGGAAGCUGCAGGCCUGCUUCGGGGUGGGGGGUGCUAAAUCUGGAUCAUAUUUUGCAGUUUUCCUCAGGAUGCCCCCAAACUGUAAGCUGCCCACAGAGCAUACGAGCACCCCCCGUUCUUGCCUCUUUGCAGGAGGGCGAAGCAGCCGUGACCACACUCCAUGCUGCAGGAGCUCUGCUCUGGGCACCGGCCGCUUCCCUCCCUGCAGCCGCGGGGGCGCUUGCGCACAAGGACAGAGCAGGUAGACGGGCGCAGGCGCCCGAGCUUCGCAGGUAGGAACCACGGUGCGGCAGAUCGCAGGGACACAGACACCGGGGCAGGCUGGCCCCCUCAGCCCGGCCCACGCUGGAAGGAGUCUGAACCAUCCGUGAUGUCCCACAGGUUCUGCGUGAUGCCGUAAGUGCCGACCCCAGACACACAGACUGCACUGUUCUCACCACCGUGGGGGCCGGCGGGCGGCAGGCUUGGGGAUGCGAGGGCCUCCACCUGGCAGCACAGACGCCUCUGUCAACGCGACCCUUCCCAGCAGCCUUGUGGACGCAGCCUCCAGGACGGUCCCAUGUGCAGUCCCUGCCACAAGCCAUAAGCCCCUCGCUUCCCCUUGGCGUGCAGACUGGCUCCAGCCCCGGGCCGCCCCCUGCCCCCGGCGGCCUCUGUGCUCCGGCAGUGCCAUCCAGACUGGGCCUGAGGACCGUCUGCUGGGCCCGGGCCCAGGGGCAGGACCCAGGGCUGCAGCUGAUCUUCCCCUCCUGGCCCCCGGGGGUGCGCGGCGCUGGACAGGCUCCCGCGUUAAUUCUCCUCCGCCCUCCAGCGACAAGGGGACGAUCCCGCCUUAGACAGUUUGCGUGCGCUCAGCCUCCUCCUCAGUGAGGAGAACGUGCCCCCCAGGACCCUGCGCAGCCCCAUGCCGUCCCGGCCACAGGGCAGGUCUGGCCUGAUGGCUGGGAGCCGCCCUGUGAACAUCUCCCACCCGGCCAGGGCGUCCACGGCCCCGUCCACCUGCGCCAGCUCCUCUUCCGUCACCUCGCGCUCCAGGGCCUGGAUGCACAGUGCCAGCCACCGCCCAUGCUCUUCAAUGGCCUCCGGCGGGGGUCCGA